GGGCCGGUAGCUCAACGGUAGAGCAGCACCCUUUUAAGGUGUUGGUUCAGGGUUCGAAUCCCUGUCGGCUCA
rnacentral:tRNA from 1 species